UUUUUUGCUGGCACUGUGUCUCCUGUCUGACACUUCUGAAAUUGGAGGGAGGGAGGGGUGGCAUUGUAAGCCUGGGUAUUCAGAGGUAUAAUAGGCCAGCUGAGCUGAAGGGAGAAUGCUUAACAUUUGUUCCUUUAGCUGUGAUUCUAUCAGCCCCUGUUUUCAUGUUGAUUGUCCAGAGCACUCUUUGCGGGCAAUUUUCCCUUUUGAAAAUGUGUCCUCUGGAUGCUUUCUUUGAUACGGUACAGCUCUCUCACACAGCGUCCUGAGCAGUUUUCAGAUUGUUCGUGGAUUUCUUGAUAUUGCAGUUCAUAAUAUAUACAAAGAAGGUUUUUAUAAUAUAGGUCAUGUUUUCUCCCUCUGCCUUGAAGGUUCCAUGGAGAUAUGCCUUUCAGAAGAUAAGGAAAAGAAAUAGCGGGGAAUGUUCCUAACUGGCUCUUCUGUAGUUCCUAUAAGAAUCUUCUUGCAACACAUCCACGUGCUGGUGGCUGAGGAAAAUGAUUUUGUUUCUUCUUUGAAGACCUAGAUUUACUCCCAUCUAUGUGACAACAUGAGAUCAUACAGAUGUCUGGAGAGAGAAUGAAUGGUGUGGGAAUAAUUUAUUAAUCCCUCUACCUCCUUUUUGACCUGCUCCAAGAAUAAUCCAUUAAAAAUCUACCUGAAAGAAUUA